GAUGAACGCUGGCGGCGUGCCUAAUACAUGCAAGUCGAGCGAACGGACGAGAAGCUUGCUUCUCUGAUGUUAGCGGCGGACGGGUGAGUAACACGUGGAUAACCUACCUAUAAGACUGGGAUAACUUCGGGAAACCGGAGCUACUACCGGAUAAUAUUUUGAACCGCAUGGUUCAAAAGUGAAAGACGGUCUUGCUUUCACUUAUAGAUGGAUCCGCGCUGCAUUAGCUAGUUGGUAAGGUAACGGCUUACCAAGGCAACGAUGCAUAGCCGACCUGAGAGGGUGAUCGGCCACACUGGAACUGAGACACGGUCCAGAAUCCUACGGGAGGCAGCAGUAGGGAAUCUUACGCAAUGGGCGAAAGACUGACGGAGCAACGCCGCGUGAGUGAUGAAGGUCUUCGGAUCGUAAAACUCUGUUAUUAGGGAAGAACAUAUGUGUAAGUAACUGUGCACAUCUUGACGGUACCUAAUCAGAAAGCCACGGCUAACUACGUG
rnacentral:rRNA from 1 species